GUUUCCAUGAAACUAUCAAUAGAUUUCUGGACUUUGAAUGUAAAAGGAAUACAUCUUACUAAAGUAAUAUGAAUUCAUUAAAAGGGAAAAUUACGUUUUAGAAUUAAAAAGAAUAUAACAAUGUUGCAGGAAAGCAAACAUUUGUGGCAAACUAGCAGAUUCGCCGCCGACAGCACCUUUUUAGCUGGAGUCCACAAUAGCUCAGCUAAUGGCCUCCAAAUCCAAUGUUUCUUCCCUGACAUAGAGUGAUGCUUCAUGAUGGGCCGGCAGAUUUGUUGAGGAUCUUGGUGCAAAUUCUAAUAUUUAGUUCCUGAAUAUUUACUGGAGACUGCCUCACACUUGUAUGCACCAAAGCAAG